GAAAUACAAACAUAAAAAAAUGAAAACUGGCCAAAUGAGAUCCGAAAUCUCUAUUUCCAAACCCUGCUGCUUCUCUCUCCAUAAGAAGACCCAAAAUCCACGACCCUCCCCUCCGCCGUUGGGCUGCUCUUUCGUCGACCUUCACUCCUUCUCCCACCGUCGCCCAAACCCUCCCGUUUGAGGCAAUAUCACCGUAUGAAUAUACAGAGAUGAGAGAGAGCAAAAGAUAAUUAUCAUAUCAACAGCAGAUAAUUUUCAACACCGGCUCCAAAUGGCACAAAAGAUAGAUGGUCAAACAUUUGCAUGAAAAAACACUUAAGAAAGAAAUCUACAUCUUAUUACUAUAUGUAAUAUAUGAAUGUGUAGAUAUAUAUAAAGUUUACAAUCUUCAUGAAAUCAUAGAGCGAAAAACCCCCAAAAGUUGCUUUUAUAUAAGCAAUAGUGAUGGCUGAAAUUGAAGUAAUCUGCACAGAAAACAUUAAGCCUUCUUCUCCAACCCAGAUUUCCUUAUAAAACACCUGCUUUCAUUUCUUGAUCAAUUAGCGCCUCCUUUUUUAUGCCACUUGUUUAUUUCUAUCCAUCAAACAGAAAAAUCACAUACUUGGAAAGAUCAAACCAUCUCCAGAAAUCUCUUUCAAAAACCUUGAACUGAUUUUAUCCUUUGCAGGGCGUGUUGUGGAUAAUCUGUACAUUGAUUGCAAUGAUGAAAGCAUUCCAUUUGUUUAAGCUAAAGCAAACCUUAAACUUUUAGGAGUUAUUUCGGAUCCAAUUCCGGGUAAAAUAAACAAAUUUCUUCCUUGUGAAUUGGAUGAUGUGAAAAAUCUUUUAUAUAAGCAAUAGUGAUGGCUGAAAUUGAAGUAAUCUGUACAGGGUUUGGGCGACGGUAGGAGAAGGUGCGACAGGCGACGACGGAGCAGAAGACGGCGGAGGGGGAGCGUUGGGGAUUUCGGGUCUUUUUCUGGAGAGAGAAGCAGCCGGGUUCGGAAAGUUGGGUUUCGGGCCUCAUUCAGCCGGCUUUCAUUUUUUUUAUGUUUGUAUUUCUUAUGCCUUUUUGUCUUAUUUUUUAUUGUAUUUUAUAUGACACGUAAGCAAUUUCAAACCCCUUUUUUUUAAUCUCUUUUUGUCCCUGGCUGAAUAGCCUUAUUGCUAUAAUGAGC
rnacentral:lncRNA from 1 species